GAAGUCACAGAGUACAUUUGUCCUCCUUCCCCUUCUUCAACCCAAUCUAGGUGGCAAGAUGUUGCAAUAAACACAAGACAGCUGGAGGUGGAAGACAGCCCAAGCAAGCAGGCCAUCUACUGGCCCAGGUCUUAAGAGGAAGUUUCUUCAUGGCAGGGAGAGGAUGAAAGAAGCUGGGCAUACAUCUUGCCGCAGAAGCUGGCAGAAAGCAGCAAGAGGAACUGGGACCAAUGAUCACCAGCUGCCCAUGUACCAAAAAAUUAUGCUUCUGAAAUCUCUUGAUGUUGAUUCUGCAUGCAGAGCAACUGAAUUGUCCUAUGUGUGCCACUCACGGCACAAGCCCUUUUUGGUAAGGCAGUCUUAACAAAUAAUAGUAUAACUACUUUA